UGAGUGGCCCUGAGCGACCAAAAACUUUCGUUCCGACUUCGAUACACCCCGAUCCCGCUAUUUUCCACUUCUUACUCGCAUACAAUGCAAGAAAACGCUCUUUAUGCGCGUCAUUGUCACAUAACACACGGCCAAUUAUCAUAUGCAUUACGAAUUCAUACGAUCGAAGGGUUUACGAUAAAUAUAUACGCGGUGAAUUGUCACCUCUUUCACCCGAUUUGUAUCACAAAUAAACUAAAAUCCUUUGGAUUUAAAACGGUUAUCCAUGUAAGACACUUAAUCGCUAUUUCGUGAUACUCCUCGCGGUGUGCAAACGGGCACACCAAAGCGCAACGCAAUACGCAAUUCUUCGGUGUAAUAUCUCGGAUACACCAUUUUUAUGUUUGUUCGCCGUGUUAAAUUAAUUAUUCUUACCAAACGAGUUUUCCUCGGUAUAAGAAAAAGACCUACGAAACCUACUGCGACCGGGUUUCCACGAUCAACGACAAUUAAGAACAAGUUCGAAUAUCCAUGAAGAAAAAACACGUUAUGCUUAUGCUUUGCGAAAACUAUACCAGUCGACUCUCGGCCAGCAACGUCUUUUUUCUCGCUUCCUGGUGAAUAGAACUAAGAAACCUCGAUUCGUCGAUAUUCCUUUCAACUGCGUAUCCGCUAAAAUGCCCCGGGGAACUCAGAACAGCUGACGAAGAUUCCGUUUCGUUACACACAGUAUGGCUUUCAUGGAAAGCAUUUCGGUCUUGGUGGCACACAAAAGAGGUGAACGACUUCGAUCGGACGCAAAGCACCACACGUUUCAUCGAACUAUUACUUACCUGGGGCACGGUGCGGCGCAAUGGAGGUCUCCAGCAUUGCUUCGGCGAGGUCUUCUCUCAAUUGGUUCUCGCCGUUACCAACACCCGUGUUUUCGCUAUCUAAGGAAUCACCGUACCAACGACCUAGAUGCAGCACGUGGCAUAUUGACAGGAUUUGAUCUCGCGGGACGAGACACACCGGUUACCCCGAUUUCAACAGCCUCAGCUUCAACGAGAUUCACAGGAGCUCUACCGUUAAUAAACGUACAGUAACAACGCUCAGCAAAGGGCUAGAUGUUGACAAAGGAGGCAGAAUCUCUAAAGAAUUCGGGCAUCUUAAGAGAGGCCAUUGACCUUUGGCUUCAACUUCGAGUUCUAUCGUCGUAUCGUCGCACACUUUCUCUUUUGCGGGUGUAGAACAGUUGGAUGAGGAUACGGAGGAAGUCUUGGAUUAGAAUACGGAUAUAUUGACAAAGGCAACUCUGUAUGAGAAACAGGAGAAUGGGAUCUGGUGCCAUCAUCCAUUAAACCUGCGCUUCUAUGAAAUCUUGAAAGUCUAUUUACAACAUGAGGUGUGGAAUGAGUUCGCACUCCUACCGGCCCACCGUAUGGUGCGACCGGAAACACGUCCAGCUGAAUCACAUACUGCUACCAUUGGCCGUUUCAAGUCAAACAGAUCGACAUGUUCAUCGUCAGUCUUUGGAUUUGGUAGAAUUCUCAGAGUGCGGACCACUCCUUGACGCCAUGAUAACACUUCUGUUGCUUCUCC